rnacentral:rRNA from 1 species
GACGAACGCUGGCGGCGUGCUUAACACAUGCAAGUCGAACGGAAAGGCCCUGCUUUUGUGGGGUGCUCGAGUGGCGAACGGGUGAGUAACACGUGAGUAACCUGCCCUUGACUUUGGGAUAACUUCAGGAAACUGGGGCUAAUACCGGAUAGGAGCUCCUGCUGCAUGGUGGGGGUUGGAAAGUUUCGGCGGUUGGGGAUGGACUCGCGGCUUAUCAGCUUGUUGGUGGGGUAGUGGCUUACCAAGGCUUUGACGGGUAGCCGGCCUGAGAGGGUGACCGGCCACAUUGGGACUGAGAUACGGCCCAGACUCCUACGGGAGGCAGCAGUGGGGAAUAUUGCACAAUGGGCGGAAGCCUGAUGCAGCAACGCCGCGUGCGGGAUGACGGCCUUCGGGUUGUAAACCGCUUUCGCCUGUGACGAAGCGUGAGUGACGGUAAUGGGUAAAGAAGCACCGGCUAACUACGUGCCAGCAGCCGCGGUGAUACGUAGGGUGCGAGCGUUGUCCGGAUUUAUUGGGCGUAAAGGGCUCGUAGGUGGUUGAUCGCGUCGGAAGUGUAAUCUUGGGGCUUAACCCUGAGCGUGCUUUCGAUACGGGUUGACUUGAGGAAGGUAGGGGAGAAUGGAAUUCCUGGUGGAGCGGUGGAAUGCGCAGAUAUCAGGAGGAACACCAGUGGCGAAGGCGGUUCUCUGGGCCUUUCCUGACGCUGAGGAGCGAAAGCGUGGGGAGCGAACAGGCUUAGAUACCCUGAUAGUCCACGCUGUAAACGGUGGGUACUAGGUGUGGGGUCCAUUCCACGGGUUCCGUGCCGUAGCUAACGCUUUAAGUACCCCGCCUGGGGAGUACGGCCGCAAGGCUAAAACUCAAAGGAAUUGACGGGGCCCCGCACAAGCGGCGGAGCAUGCGGAUUAAUUCGAUGCAACGCGUAGAACCUUACCUGGGUUUGACAUGGAUCGGGAGUGCUCAGAGAUGGGUGUGCCUCUUUUGGGGUCGGUUCACAGGCGGUGCAUGGCUGUCGUCAGCUCGUGUCGUGAGAUGUUGGGUUAAGUCCCGCAACGAGCGCAACCCUUGUUCACUGUUGCCAGCACGUUAUGGUGGGGACUCAGUGGAGACCGCCGGGGUCAACUCGGAGGAAGGUGGGGAUGACGUCAAGUCAUCAUGCCCCUUAUGUCCAGGGCUUCACGCAUGCUACAAUGGCUGGUACAGAGAGUGGCGAGCCUGUGAGGGUGAGCGAAUCUCGGAAAGCCGGUCUCAGUUCGGAUUGGGGUCUGCAACUCGACCUCAUGAAGUCGGAGUCGCUAGUAAUCGCAGAUCAGCAACGCUGCGGUGAAUACGUUCCCGGGGCU